rnacentral:rRNA from 1 species
UGCGGACUGGAUGUUGGGUUCAACUUGGAACCCAGUAUCGAAGCUAACGCGUUAAGUUCGCCGCCUGGGGAGUACGGUCGCAAGACUGAAACUCAAAGGAAUUGACGGGGGCCCGCACAAGCGGUGGAGUAUGUGGUUUAAUUCGAUGCAACGCGAAGAACCUUACCUGGUCUUGACAUCCACGGAACUUUCCAGAGAUGGAUUGGUGCCUUCGGGAACAGUGAGACAGGUGCUGCAUGGCUGUCGUCAG